AUACGUAGGGGGCGAGCGUUGUCCGGAAUGAUUGGGCGUAAAGGGCGCGUAGGCGGCCCGGUAAGUCUGGAGUGAAAGUCCUGUUUUUAAGAUGGGAAUUGCUUUGGAUACUGUCGGGCUUGAGUGCAGGAGAGGUAAGUGGAAUUCCCAGUGUAGCGGUGAAAUGCGUAGAGAUUGGGAGGAACACCAGUGGCGAAGGCGACUUACUGGACUGUAACUGACGCUGAGGCGCGAAAGUGUGGGGAGCGAACAGGAUUAGAUACCCUGGUAGUCCACACUGUAAACGAUGAAUGCUAGGUGUAAGAGGUAUCGACCCCUUUUGUGCCGGAGUCAACACAAUAAGCAUUCCGCCUGGGGAGUACGGCCGCAAGGUUGAAACUCAAAGGAAUUGACGGGG
rnacentral:rRNA from 1 species